AAAUAUACAAUUAAUAAACGUGUAGAUAGUACAGUGUGAUGAUUGA
rnacentral:guide_RNA from 1 species